GACUCCGUAGCUCAGUUGGUAGAGCACAUCACUUUUAAUGAUGGGGUCCUGGGUUCUGAGCCCCAGCGGGGUCA
rnacentral:tRNA from 1 species